ACUGGACGGGUGAAUUCACCUGGAGAGAGUGAGCAGUGUGGAAUAGUUUGGACUUUGGUGAGCGUUGUGUGCUCUCUGAGCAUUCUUUUAACUGCACUGGUGCUUUUGAUCAUCCAGAAGAAAAGGGGAAGACGCACUGGAACAUCACAAACUGGACAGCGAGUGCGACAAGUUGAGAAGCUGGAGGAAGCUGAAGUGCAGUACAGUGCACUACGUUUCUCAAACCCAAAAUGAACCAAGGAGAGGGCUGAGUCAGACACUGAAGCUGAGUGAAUACCAAUAUUUCUUAUUUCAGGCUU